rnacentral:sRNA from 1 species
AUGAAGAGACAAGUCAGGACCAUAAAAGAGCAUGGGAUGCCAUGGAGAAGUCUUAUUCAUUUAAAUGCUUACCGGAAAGGUUUGGUGUGAUGCAAGACGUCCCACGGAGUGCACCUGGCCAAAGACAGUGUUUACUUUGAAGAAACUCUGUUUUAUGUCUAUGGAUUCAGCAAAGGCAUCAUCGCAUGUGGACUGGGUGCAUGAUUUUUGAUGGACUUGAUAUUAUUUUUUUAUUGGAACAAUGUUCUUAUCAGUGACUGGUGAUUGCAAUAGAUACAUAUUAUUUUCUCGUUAAUGAUAAUGAUUGGAACAGUACAUAUUUUCUUAACAGUGACUGGUGGUCAGAACUGUACAUAUUAUUUCAUUAUUAGUAGUUGUGAGUGGACAAUUUAUUUGUGGUACAGUACCGGUAUUCAAUUGCGAUGUGAACAUUUUGAGCUGAUCAUAUAUAGAUGAACAUACCAGGAAUUGAUGAACAAUGAAGAUGAGAAUCAUAAAGGUGUCCAUCAAGAAGGAAUAUAUGUUUGUUUUGUCUUUCCCCAAAAUUUUGGCUAUGUAUACGACGAUAAUGAUUGAUUAAAUUGUUAGUAGUUA